rnacentral:rRNA from 1 species
UAGGGAAUAUUAGAAAUGGACGAAAGUCUGAUCUAGCGACACCGCGUGUGCGAAGAAGGCCUUUGGGUCGUAAAGCACUUUUUGGAAGGAAUAGGAAGGAAUGUACUUCCAGAAUAAGUCCCGGCUAACUACGUGCCAGCAGCCGCGGUAACACGUAGGAGGCAAACGUUAUCCGGAUUUACUGGGCGUAAAGCGCGUGUAGGUGGUACUGUAAGUAGGGCGUGAAAGCUCCUGGCUCAACUGGGAGAGGCCGUUCUAAACUACAGAACUAGAGGAUGGUAGAGGGAGGUGGAAUUCCAGGUGUAGCGGUGGAAUGCGCAGAUAUCUGGAGGAACACCGGUGGCGAAGGCGGCCUCCUGGACCAUUCCUGACACUCAGACGCGAAAGCUAGGGUAGCAAACGG